GAUGAACGCUGGCGGCGUGCCUAAUACAUGCAAGUCGAGCGAACAGACGAGGGGCUUGCUCCUCUGACGUUAGCGGCGGACGGGUGAGUAACACGUGGAUAACCUACCUAUAAGACUGGGAUAACUUCGGGAAACCGGAGCUAAUACCGGAUAAUAUAUUGAACCGCAUGGUUCAAUAGUGAAAGACGGUUUUGCUGUCACUUAUAGAUGGAUCCGCGCCGCAUUAGCUAGUUGGUAAGGUAACGGCUUACCAAGGCGACGAUGCGUGGCCGACCUGAGAGGGUGAUCGGCCACACUGGAACUGAGACACGGUCCAGACUCCUACGGGAGGCAGCAGUAGGGAAUCUUCCGCAAUGGGCGAACGCCUGACGGAGCAACGCCGCGUGAGUGAUGAAGGUCUUCGGAUCGUAAAACUCUGUUAUUAGGGAAGAACAAAUGUGUAAGUAACUAUGCACGUCUUGACGGUACCUAAUCAGAAAGCCACGGCUAACUACGUG
rnacentral:rRNA from 1 species